rnacentral:ncRNA from 1 species
GGGACAAGUGGCAUUCAGCCACCUGAGAUUGAGCAAUAACAGGUCUUUGAUGCCCUUAGGUGUCCGAGGCUGCAUGCACACUACACUGACUGGCUCAGUGUGUGCCUACUCUAUGCCAGCAGGAGCAAGUUACCCAUUGAACCCCAUUCAUGAUGGGGAUCAGGGAUUGCAAUUAUUCCCCAUGAAUGAGGAAUUCCCAGUAAGUGCAGGUCAUAAGCUUGCAUUGAUUAAGUCCCUGCCCUUUGUACACACUGCCUGUCACUACUACCAAUUGGGUGGUUUAGUGAGGCCCUCAGAUUGGCCCUGCAGGGGUCUGCCCAUGGCUCUAGAUGAGUGCUGAGAAGAAGUCGAACUUGGCUAUCUAGAGGAAGUAAAAGUUGCAACAAAGUUUCAGCAGGUGAACCUGCAGAAGGAUCAUUA